GUCUGACUACGGAUCAGAAGAUUCUAGGUUUGGCUCCUGACUAGCUCGUGUUUUAUGAAUGUUUUAGUGAAGCUCAAAAACCUGCAUUACUUAUUUGAUGAUUUUAAUGUGAUUUAAUAACACUAAGCAGGAUCUAGUACAGUCUAUAUGCUACAGUAACAUGGCUCAAACGCCAGUGAACAAAAGUGCCUCUGAUUUUCUUUCGUAAUGUCGAAUAAUAAUUAGGUUUGCAUAGUAAAUGUCAUGGCAGCUACAUCGUGAAUGUUCAAAAACUGCUCCUAUGCAGUUGCACUACAUUUGAAAUGAGACAAAUGUACCUCUAGAUGGCAGCAUCUCCACGCAUAUUACCGUGAAAUUGGUCUCCGUUCAGAUUAUAUAAGAUAACUAUAAAUCACUUGUUUCUCUUCGGUUAGUUGAAAAAUCUCCUACAAAGUAUGAUUUUGCUGAGUACCCAAAGCAAGUACAGACACUGAUUAUCUUUUGACUAUUAUUCCAUGAGCGUGUUUUGUGUAUACUUGAAUGCUUAUGAUAUAGUUUCACUAUUUCUUAAUAUUAUCUGAACGCUCUGUUAGUAAGUCAUAGUGAAUCAAAGUCCGUCAAGAAAAAUAACUCCAACAGCAAAUUCAAAGUCCCUACAUUUUUGAUUGCUCUCCAAAAUAAAAAAAUAGUUUGUCAUCACUCUCACAAGGCUUUCAAAACACAGUAGUUAUGAUGUGUUUUGCACACACAUUGUUCCCUCCGGGCCCCCACUGCUCAGGACAAAUCCCUUGGCUCGUUUCCCUUCCGGAAUGAAGCUGGUGGCCGUGGGGAUUUAUCAAGCGACCAACACAAAGUACCAUCAGCUGCAUGUGGGCUUAACACUCAAGUGUGUGAGAGAUGAAGAGUCUGCAUGCAGACAUGGCUUUGACACUGCUGACCGUGAUGCUCACCAUCCCAUACAUCUGCAAGGGAGGUGAGAGGUUUUUAUGACACAGCGUGACCUGGUAUUUCAGGAGAUAAUGCAGCCUCUCAGGCUAUCAUUUGGGGAAUUAAUGCAUCUGGAUCACCUGUUUAUGUGACAACGCUGUUGAGAAAAUCAACAGCGACGGACUUCCUUCAAAAAAACAGAGAGAAGCGUGAAUCAGCGUGUUUUCCUGGAGGCUGCAGCAGCGAGGUCAGCGAGGCUGGAGAACUGAUGGAAGCAGACGAUGUUGAAUAUGAGAGCUCUGGAGGAGAAGCCGCAGUGGAUGAGGGAUCUGGGAUGUAGCCAAGAUGGAGAGUUGAAGACUUUCCCAAAAGCAUCCUGGUACCAUGGGCAACUUUAACUCUAUCUUACAUAUCUAAAUAUAUAUUUAACCUAUCAGGAAGCUUAAGAGCAUAUCAAGUGACGUGUAAGCAUUCUAAAUAUAGCUAUUUGAACAUUUUAAACGUGUAAUGUCUGCAUAUUUGCUUUUUUUGUUGUAUCAUGGGAUUAUUAAAGAACUUUAACAUUGAGACCACCAGAACUGAGUAAAUGGAUGACCUGCUAAUACUGUCGGAAGAAAAAGAAGAGGAAGCAUUUAGUUAUUUAGACCUUCUUGGGUAUUGUGAACUGUCUAGUCCUCUCUUUAGCUAUGCGGGACAGUUGUGUUGUAUGUUUUGUUUGUAUUAUUAUCCCAUCUAGUUAAAAAUAAUCAAUGGAAUUAGCCUGAAUACACGUGGCUUUAACCACACACACAAUUCAAAUAUAUCACAUCCUGCCCUGACUCGUUUUCAUGUAAAUAUCAUAUUGUUAAAUACGCAGACGCAGAAGCAUGAGUCACAUGCCGAUCACGGGCUCGGAUGGCUCUUUCUCCCCCAAUAUUUACUGAACAAUUAACCCUUUUAAUCGCUGCAGAGCGGAAAUAGGCACAUUGAAGGCGGUCCUCUUCUUGUUGUAUGAUUUAGCUUACAUCUCUCCAUAUUUUUAAAUUACAAGUUCGCUUUUAUGUCUUAAACCAAUUUUAUGUGGCAAGAAUUGUCGCUAUGCAGAGAGCUACAGGCCGCUGUCUCUUUAAUGCUGCCUUCACGUUCUCAUCGCGAGAUCACACUUUAUUUCUGUAGUAGUAAAUACUAAUGUAUUAUUAUCUGUUAACAAAAUAUACCAGAUGGUAUGAGCCAGUUAUUGGAUGGUAUUUUAUGUUAGGUACCACAUUAUUAAUCUGUACAUGAUUUUACAGUGAAGGGAUUCUUAAAUUAAAGGAAUUGACUGUG